rnacentral:rRNA from 1 species
CCUACGGGAUGCUGCAGUGGGGAAUAUUGGGCAAUGGGCGCAAGCCUUACCCAGCAAUACCGCGUGUGUGAAGAAGGUCUUCGGAUUGUAAAGCACUUUGAUCAGGGACGAACAGAUGACGGUAACUGACGAACAAGCUCCGGCUAACUACGUGCCAGCAGCCGCGGUAAAACGGGGGGGGCGAGCGUUGUCCGGAAUGACUGGGCGUAAAGGGUGCGUAGGCGGCAUAAUAAGUCAGAAGUGAAAUACCCCGGGCUUAACUCGGGUGCUGCUUCUAAGACUGUUGAGCUUGAGUGUGGUAGAGGUUAAUAGAAUUCCUAGUGUAGCGGUGGAAUGCGUAGAUAUUAGGAGGAACACCAGAGGCGAAGGCGAUUAACUGGACCGUAACUGACGCUGAGGUACGAAAGUGUGGGUAGCAAACAGGAUUAGAUACCCUGGUAGUC